rnacentral:rRNA from 1 species
GACGAACGCUGGCGGUAUGCUUAACACAUGCAAGUCGAACGAGAAAGUUUUGAUGGAUCCUUCGGGUGACAUUAAAACUGGAAAGUGGCGAACGGGUGAGUAACGCGUGGGUAACCUGCCCUAUGGAAAGGAAUAGCCUCGGGAAACUGGGAGUAAAGCCUUACAUUAUGGAGUGAUCGCAUGGUCAUUUCAUGAAAACUCCGGUGCCAUAGGAUGGACCCGCGUCCCAUUAGCUAGUUGGUGAGAUAACAGCCCACCAAGGCGACGAUGGGUAACCGGUCUGAGAGGGCGAACGGUCACACUGGAACUGAGACACGGUCCAG